rnacentral:rRNA from 1 species
UACGAAGGGGGGCUAGCGUUGCUCGGAAUCACUGGGCGUAAAGCGCACGUAGGCGGCUUGUUAAGUCAGGGGUGAAAUCCUGGAGCUCAACUCCAGAACUGCCUUUGAUACUGGCAAGCUUGGAGUCCGGGAGAGGUGAGUGGAACUGCGAGUGUAGAGGUGAAAUUCGUAGAUAUUCGCAAGAACACCAGUGGCGAAGGCGGCUCACUGGCCCGGUACUGACGCUGAGGUGCGAAAGCGUGGGGAGCAAACAGGG